UGGGAUUGUUAAUGAGCAGUUGAAUUUUUUUGUCACUUGGCUUUUCUAUACUUCCUGAGUUUCCUGUAAUAGCUACAUUUCACUUUCAUCAACAGAAAAAAAUCUACAAAUACUUGGUCUGUCAGGGGAAGCCCAAGUGGAUGUCCUGUUGUACAGACCGUGCAUUGCACAAGUCUAGGAGAUGCCCUUUGCAGCAGAGUCCCUGCGCAGGGCCCAUUUGAGCUGUGAGGAGUGCACUUGGCAUCCCAGCUCCUCAGUGCAGGAAGGUAGUUUAGCGUGUGGCCACAUGUGUUAGAUAUGAAGUCCUCUGAUUGUUUUAGGAGGUGGCCUUCAGACAUCUUAAUGCCACUCUUCCUCAUGAAAUCCUGUUUGCUGGCUCCUACCCAGCUUACGGCAGGUGUAGGUGGGGUGCCCGUUGUUCAUCAAGCUCCUGCUAGGAAGAGAAGAGUUGUCCUGCGAAACUAACUUACGCUAUUUCUUUACCCUCCGUGACAACUCUGUGAAGCUGAGGUCCCCCUUAUUCUACAAGGGUGGAUGACGGUGUAGUGGGGUUAGAUGACUCCCUUCAGGAAGAAGAGUUGUGAGUAGACCUGUUUGUUUCUUUCUGUGCAUCCCCACGGAACCCUUCCCUCUCUGCCUCCUCCGAGGAAGUGUGUUCUCUAUUCAGCCAACCUCUAGAUUUUAUCCCGUUGAUCACUUCAGACCCUCGACCUUAUUUCGUAUAUCCUAUAUCAACAUUUCCUGCAGAAAAGGGUUGCUUUAUAGCUGAGUCCAUACAAAAUCAAGCAGAUCACAGGGUGCCCUCUGUGACGUCACAUUGAACAAAUGGUAAUUCUAACAACUGCCCCCGAAUAAUUCUUUUUUUUCCUUCUCCUCCGUGUACCGUUCAUCUUCCCUGCAAUUAACAAUUGGCCAUCAAGCCGACAGCGUCUCUUCCAACGGGGACGGAUGUCACAUGUCCAGCCACAAGGUACAGGGAUCUUAUUUCUUCCACCCAAACAUGUGGCAAGUGAAAUUGUGCAUGCAGAGAGCCUGGUGUGGAACAUUUGAAACCAUAACUGUCCUUAAAAGUCCAAGGUACCCAAUAGCUGGAGGACCGAGCUAUGACACCGGUUAUAUCCUCUGUCACAAAAUGCCACUUGGCAUAAUCUAAGCAGCUGCCAUUUAAUGAGACAGAGGGAAAAGCGAGGGCUACUUGGAAGAUGAAGGGAUCAUGUAAAUUACUGGUGAGUUGAUAUGUUUGCCAUUUACAGCUGAAAUCUGGGUUGACCACUGUAAUGCGGCCAUCAGUGUAGAAAACUGUUAAAUGUCAGGUUGGGGGCAUAAGGAAACCGCAUUGCCAGGUACUAGCAUCAUCUAUAAAGCAAAAUUCCAGUUACUUGAAAAGUUACUCCGACUGUGACCAAAAUUCUGCUUGUGAGCGAAGUGCUUUGUUUUAUUUCGUACAAAAGCCAUAAAAUCGUACAAACUUAAACCGGAGGCCACAGAAUAAAGAUUUCUUCUUUGUCCUAAGUUUUAUGUGA
rnacentral:lncRNA from 1 species